rnacentral:tRNA from 1 species
GGAAGCGUGCCUGAAACAUUAAGGGCUACUUUGAUAAAGCAGACAUGGAACUAAACAACUCCCACUUCC